rnacentral:rRNA from 1 species
UACGUAGGGGGCGAGCGUUUGUCCGGAUUUAUUGGGCGUAAAGAGCGUGUAGGCGGUUCGGUAAGUCUGUCGUGAAAUCCUGAGGCUCAACCUCGGGCGUGCGAUGGAUACUGCCGGGCUAGAGGAUGGUAGAGGCGAGUGGAAUUCCCGGUGUAGCGGUGAAAUGCGCAGAUAUCAGGAGGAACACCGAUGGCGAAGGCAGGUCUCUGGGCAUUAACUGACGCUGAGGAGCGAAAGCAUGGGGGAGCGAACAGG